rnacentral:misc_RNA from 1 species
GGGAAAACAGAUGUCGUGCCAGGUAGGUCAGAACAACUGGAUCUUCACCGAUUCACCGGUGUGCUAUGUGACGCCGAACUUGCGUCUACAUCAGUGCACCUGUCCGCUGACAACGUGCACCCCCACCGCGGCUGGCUACGGGUGCCACCUGACAUCCUCUGUUAUGAUUCUCUCCGGUGUGCUAGUCGUAGUCUGGAUCAUGGCUGCGUGCGCCUACGUGUACGUUUUGAAUUUCGUCGGCGAGCUGGAACUAGAGGCUCGCACGGAGAAGGUGGUCUCUCUCAGCCGCAAUUACUACUACCACAAGUUGUUCGGCACCGGUAGCCCGAUGCUCCCGUCAAGUGUCUAUGUACCGGAUAGAAAGUUGCGCUCGGAGUAGACGACACGGCUCUGCUGUGGAGUUGAGAUCGCAGAGGCGUUGCCCCCUCUCCUCUUCUUUUCUUCUCUUUCUGGCCUUUCUUUUCGGGGCUUAGCGCCGGCACACCUAGAAAGAGGAGAAGAGGGGAUAGGGGGGCUACUCAGGGCACAUCUGCAUCUGUCUCGUGUGAAUAACAGGAAACGCGUACGCGUGCCCGGACAACCCUCCAGGCGUGCACACGUUUGCGUCCGGGUGUGAACCGAUGGAUUCCGUGUGCGGGGGCUGGCGCUUCUCGGUCAACGCUGCCUAGUGGGGUGGGUGCGCAGGCGGCAGCGCCGCUGUUUGCAGCAAAGGAUAGGCCUCUUCUUAGGCGCGUGCCGCUGUGUUCCUUUUCACCCUUUUUCCUCUUUGUAGGCGAAUGCCGCCGUUGCCGUGGUCUGUCCAAUUUUUCCCCUUCCCGCUGUACUGCUGCAGGCGAGAGGGGCCACACCUUCUCUGUCCUACCUCUCCACUUGGUAUGCGUAUGUGCAAACGCGUGUAAGUGGCCGCUUCUCCCGUCUUAGCCACUUCCUGCGCUUCCUCCUUCGCGCCUUCGUUUCGGGCUCGAACUGUCCACUCCGACUCUCGCAUCCUCCUCGCGUCUUCUCGGUAUCCCUUCUUUACCUCUUCUUACCAUAACUCACCCCCUGAUUAUGGACGGCUGCCUCACUGUGAUGUCAGGGUCUGAUACCCUCUCCACCCCCCACACGCUGCGUGUGGGAGCGACCAAGAGCCUGCGGCCUUCCCUGGUAUACGGCCGUGGACUCUUGGUGUCCGCGGAGAGGUCUGGGCUUGCUCUGGGCCGAAGAGACGUGCAUCCAUGACCACAUCUAUGCCAGCGCACUGCCAAUCGUGUCGACGGCUCACCGAGUGUGUGCGCAUUUUUACGUUGAACCCCUAAGCCAGCCGAUGAGUGUGCCAUCUUCUGUUGGCUUAUUUUCGUUUUGCUUUUUU